GAGCACUGAAGCAGGAACUGUGCUGUGGAACCCAGCAUCAUAUAGUUCUCAUGUGCUAAACAAACCUUUGGAGGCAAAUCAACAGCAUGACCCAGUUAUCCACUGCUGCCAGUCACCUUCAGAUACCA
rnacentral:snoRNA from 1 species